rnacentral:rRNA from 1 species
CAGGGAAUCUUGCGCAAUGGGCGAAAGCCUGACGCAGUGACGCCGCGUGCGGGAUGACGGUCUUCGGAUUGUAAACCGCUUUCAGCAGGGACGAUUAUGACGGUACCUGCAGAAGAAGCUCCGGCCAACUACGUGCCAGCAGCCGCGGUAAUACGUAGGGAGCGAGCGUUGUCCGGAUUUAUUGGGCGUAAAGAGCUUGUAGGCGGUUCAGCAAGUCGGGUGUGAAAACUCUGGGCUCAACCCAGAGACGCCACCCGAUACUGCUGUGACUUGAGUCUGGUAGGGGAUCGCGGAAUUCCAGGUGUAGCGGUGAAAUGCACAGAUAUCUGGAGGAACACCAGCAGCGAAGGCGGCGAUCUGGGCCAGUACUGACGCUGAGAAGCGAAAGCGUGGGGAGCGAACAGG